AUCGAUGGGAGCUUGCUCCCUGAGAUCAGCGGCGGACGGGUGAGUAACACGUGGGUAACCUGCCUGUAAGACUGGGAUAACUCCGGGAAACCGGGGCUAAUACCGGAUAACACCUACCCCCGCAUGGGGGAAGGUUGAAAGGUGGCUUCGGCUAUCACUUACAGAUGGACCCGCGGCGCAUUAGCUAGUUGGUGAGGUAACGGCUCACCAAGGCGACGAUGCGUAGCCGACCUGAGAGGGUGAUCGGCCACACUGGGACUGAGACACGGCCCAGACUCCUACGGGAGGCAGCAGUAGGGAAUCUUCCGCAAUGGACGAAAGUCUGACGGAGCAACGCCGCGUGAGUGAAGAAGGUUUUCGGAUCGUAAAACUCUGUUGUUAGGGAAGAACAAGUGCCGUUCGAAUAGGGCGGCACCUUGACGGUACCUAACCAGAAAGCCACGGCUAACUACGUGCCAGCAGCCGCGGUAAUACGUAGGUGGCAAGCGUUGUCCGGAAUUAUUGGGCGUAAAGCGCGCGCAGGUGGUUUCUUAAGUCUGAUGUGAAAGCCCACGGCUCAACCGUGGAGGGUCAUUGGAAACUGGGGAACUUGAGUGCAGAAGAGGAAAGUGGAAUUCCCAGUGUAGCGGUGAAAUGCGUAGAUAUUUGGAGGAACACCAGUGGCGAAGGCGACUUUCUGGUCUGUAACUGACACUGAUGCGCGAAAGCGUGGGGAGC
rnacentral:rRNA from 2 species